rfam:Capsicum annuum cultivar Zunla-1 chromosome 8, whole genome shotgun sequence
ACUUCAUGGUUUGGGCAUUGCAACAUUUUAUCCUUAAACCUUUUCCAUACUUUAUAUAAACGCUCACUAUAUUGAUGAAAAUUUAUGAUUUCGUCCAUAAAUUU